CCCCCCCCACCGGAGCGCGCGAAGUCGGAACGUUCCGUCGUCGCUGCUCCGUUAACCGUCGUCUCCUCAGCGCUUCCCGCCAAGAAAGGGCGAGUUUAAGUCAGCCAGGGCUUAGGGGGCCUUCCUCAGGUAGCUUAAUCGGUUUGUUCGUUUUUAUCCACGUCAGCCGACGCGGUGCGGUUUUGGUAGGACUCGCCCAAACUCCCCUUUUCAAAAAAAAAAAGCCCCUUCCAUGGUCAGUGAAAGGGGAGUGGGGCGGGAAUGGGGCCGUGGAAGGUGAGCCUCUGCUCCUGUCAGGAUAGCUGCUGACUCCACAUCCUUCCCCCAAACUGGAAGCGUAGGAUCCAAGAUCCCAUCGGCUCCAGUAACAACAACAAUAAUGAUAACACCACCAAUAAUAAUAAUUUUAAUAAUUUGUAUGCUGCCCAUCUGACUGGGUUGCUCCAGCAAUAAUAAUAAUAAUAGGAGCCAAGGUCCCAUCAGCUCUAACAACAACAAUUUUAUUACAGUGGUACCUCUGGUUACAGACGCUUCAGGUUACAGACUCCGCUAACCCAGAAAUAGUACCUCGGGUUAAGAACUUUGCUUCAGGAUGAGAACUGAAAUCGUGCUACGGCGGCACGGCGGCAGCAGGAGGCCCCAUUAGCUAAAGUGGUGCUUCAGGUUAAGAACAGUUUCAGGUUAAGAACGGACCUCCGGAAUGAAUUAAGUGCUUAACUCGAGGUACCACUGUACUUGUAUGCUGCCCAUCUGACUGGGUUGCCCCAGCCAUCAUCAUAGCAACAACAAUAACAAUUUUACUACUUGUAUGUUGACUCUGCAUCCUUCCCCAAAUUGGAAGUGUAGGAGCCAAGGUCCCAUCAACUCUAAUAAUAAUAAUAAUAAUAAUUUAUUACUUGUAUGCUGCCCAUAUGACUGGGUUGCUCCAGCCACUCUGGUGCGGCUCCCAACAGAAUAUUAAAAAAAAUAGGUCAGGGGGCCAGUCCCCCCAAAGUUGAUGGGCAUUGCCAUUCAAACGGUGUGUGCACACUGCAUCAUGGGAUUGAUUGUGUGGGGCUGAGCUUGCUUGCCCCCCCCCCCAUAUUUUAUUCAAGUUGGUACCGUGACUGGAAGAUAUUCUUCCUAAUCUCAGGCAUAAAGAAGGAGGGCUUUGGGCAUUCCUCAGGUAGCUUAAUCAGUCGUGGUUUUGUUUGUUUUUUCCACAUCAACUGACGCAAUACAUUUUUUGUAUGACUCGUCCAAACUCCCCUUUUCCAGAAAAAAAGCCCCUUCCAUGGUUAGUUAAGAAAAAAUAAAUAAAAUGGGGGUAUGGGAGGUGAGCCUCUCUUCCUGUCGGGAUAGCUGCUGACUCCACAUCCUUCCUCCAGCGUAGGAGCCAAGCUCCCUUCAAUAAUAAUAAUAAUAAUAAUAAUAAUAUUACUUGUAUGCUGCCCAUCUGACUGGGUUGCCCCAGCUGCUCUGGGUGGCUCCCAACAGAAUAUUAAAAAAAUAGGUCAGGGGGCUGGUCCCCCCAAAGUUGAUGGGCAUUCAAAUGGUGUGUGCAUGCUGCAUCACGUGAUUGAUUGUGUGGGGCUGGGCUUACCUGCCCCCCAUACUUUUUUCAAAUUGGCACCCCGACUGGAAGAUAUUCUUCCUAAUUUCAGACAUAAAGAAGGAGUGCUUUGGGGCCUUCAUCAGGUAGCUUAAUCAGUUGGGUUUGUUCAAGUCAGCAGGGUUUCUCAAACUGUGGUUCCUCUUCAGCUGUCUUGGGACUACAACUCCCCAUCAUCCCUAGUUAGCAGGGCCAGUAGUCAGGGAUGAUGGGAAUUGUAGUCCUAAAGCAGCAAGUUUAGGAAACCCUAUCGUAUUACCAUUUUAGCAUGAGUUGCCCAAACUUUCCCUUUUUGAAAAAGGCCCUUCCAUGGAGAAAAAAAAAGGUGUGAGAGGUGAGCAGUAAAAGGUUUGGCCUCUUCCUGUCAGGAUAGUACAGACUGACUCCAUAUCCUUCCCCCCAAACUGGAAAAUAUUCUUCCUAAUCUCAGGCAUAAGUAGGAGACUUAUUAUGAUUUGUUUGGUCUGAUGUAUAGUUUGGUCUGCCCCCUCUUUUCUUCCCAACCCUGUACUGCAUGUAACACCAAUGUCUCACAACAAAUGUAACUGAAGAACCUGAAGAAAGAGACAAUGCAUGUGCUUUUGAAAACAAAGGGGAAUUAUUCUUUUUUUAAAGAAGAAAAGGGGUGUGUGUCAGCCCCCAGUGUUUAGAGAGCUCCCAUCCUUAUUGCAUUGUUAGAAACAGAACAUAAACCCAUGAAACUAGAAAAGAGGAAAAUAUCAAUGUUUGGUCCAGAUCCUAGGUACUGCACCCUCACCAAAGGAGACUGUAUGGAUGAUUCACUAAAUGAUUGUAGGAUGAUGUGUGUACCUGAGCUUAUGGCCUCAAAUUCUCUUUAUCUUAUAUACUGCUUUAUUACAAAAAUGAUGACUAGACUACUGAUCCUAAACUGGAUAGUUAGUUGCCCAACCACCCCCUCCAGAACCCACUUCUCUCAACUGCCUCACAUUCAAACUCCCUUUCAAAUCCGCAUCCAAUCAUCACUCACCACCAGAAUUCUACACUCUCUUUCCCCCCUCUCUCCUUAACAUUCCCAUAAUAAUUCUGAUACUAUUAGCUUAAUAACCCUAUUACAUUCAAUAUUUUAUACAUGUUACUCCGUAUAACCAUACUGUUAGAAGCACUUGAGCUUCCCACUCUUGUUUCCUAGGAAAUGGGGGUGAGCAAACUGCAGGUUCUCCAUCCUUGUUUUAAAAACCAGAUGUCUUCCCCCAAAUGAUCCUGGGAAUUGUAGUUUGUUAGGGGUUCUGGGGAUUGUAGGUCUAUGAGAAGGAAGCCACAAUGGCACGAAUCAUUUCGGGGGAAGUCGUGCUUUAAAGGUGCAUUGGAUGCUCUUUAGAAUAUAGCAUCAUAGAAUUGUAGAGUUGGAAGGGAUCCCAAGGGUCAUCUAGUCCAACCCCCUGCGAUGUAGGAAUCUCAACUAGAUGACCCAUGGCCAAUGGCCAUCCAAGCACUUCUUAAAAACCUGCAAGGAAGGAGAGUCACUGCUUCAGGCCCUACAGCCCUCUGGAGCAGGAGAAAACAAGCUUGCUCCAUGUGACGGCCCUUAGGCAUUAGUUAUUGAAAGGGCUGCAUGGUGUGGAUCUAAUAUCAGUGUUAUGAGAGUAUAAGCAACACAUUUCUCUCUCCCCUUUCUCCACACUAUGCAGAAUUGCAAUGGUCACCAGAAGGCUGGAGUUUGGAGCCCAACCAGGGCGGGCUGUGGGCAGGAUCCUUGCAUUGACUAGAUGACCCUUGGGAUCCCUUCCAACCCUGCCAUGCUAUGAUAUCAAGCAGCUACAGGAACAAAAAGAUGCUUCUGAAACAUUUGGAAAUCAUAGGAACACUCUCCUCACCAGUGGCUUCUAGCCAGAGCUUGCAUCUUCCUUAGGAUAGAGGCAGUCCAGAACAAGGGGGAAAGGCUCAGAGUUCAGGUAGGUGGAAAUGCCAAUUGAGUACCCUAUACUAUAGGAAUGCUUCCUUCCUGUGCCCCCCACCCUCAUGCGCCAGACUGGUGCUAGCAUGGCUGGCCAGGUGCCUGCUGGUUCCUCCAUUUUCUUUGCAGGGAGGGAGCCUUUCCCCAACAUAUACUUUGUUCUGGCAAAUCCCUGGAAAGAUGUGACGACCCUCAGGUACUGGGGCAGAGGGAAGGAAAGGGUCCUUGUGAAAUACAUUUGGGGAGUGUGUGGGUUCCAGCAAGUGCUUUUCAGAAGCACUGUUCCCUCCAACAGGGGAGGCUGAGCAUAGCCAUCACGGCUAGUUGCCUUUGAUAGGUCUCCAUGCAGUUGUCUAGCCCUCUUUGAAAGCCAUCCCAUCCAAGAUGCUCUUGUGGUGCAUCUGAUUCUCCUAUGCUUCCUUGCUCCUGUAAGGAGAUGACUAUUGUGAGAUCCUUUGGUUAACAUCUAUCUGGGCUGGAAAACAUUAAAGAAUCAGAGGACUAGUGAGCUUCCCUUGAAGCAUAACUGAUCAAAGGCAGACAGAUCUGUUAGCAUCUUGAUAAAGAUGCUCAAAUGUCAAAGGAUGCUAUCAUACCCCACAAGCGUCUCAGAAAAGCUCCCAAGCUGAUGGAGAAGAGAGCAGUUAAGUGGUCAGUGGGGCUCCAGGUUGCUCUUUCUGGAUCCCACCACAGCCCUUCCAAGUUGCCAAAGAAAUCAAUGUCACAACAGUUUUUUCCUCGCACCUCCUCCGCAUGAUCCCUUCUCAGACAUAUGCUGUGUCUGAACCAGCAGAUCCCACCAAACCAAGUAAUCGAGGACCCAGUCAGAAAAGGAGUGUGCGCAGUCAUACCAGAAAUAAGCAAAAUAACUAAACAGGUAUGAGAAGUCACCCCAGAACUGGCCCUACUGAACACCUUCCAAGAUAACAAUGCCCAUUCAAACAAGAAAGAGCUCAUAACCCACCGACAGCAUAUGAUUCAAUAUGCCUAACUUAACCCGUCAACCCCCCUCACCCACGCACAAACAAAUACCACUGAAGCCAGCCAAAGAUGAUCAACCACACCCUAGGCCACCCCAACCUCUCUCCACCAAGGAAACAUAACAAGCAAAUACUGUAGAAAGAGAACUUCCCCAAGUGAUGCUGACAGAAAAACCCCAAGAUUACACUAAAUAAAAGAACUUGAGCUUUGCCACCCCAGUCCCUCUCUCCUGUCCCGUCCCCCCCGCUGCCCCCUGAGCAGAGAUUAUUGCUUUUCAGGACUGAGACAUGCAUUGCAAAAAUGUUCUUCUGUGUUUUGCUGUGUUGUGGCUCCAAUGAAACAAUAGUUUCUUUUCUGUUGGUUGGACUGCUUUGUUCCUUGACAGAAAAAAGGUGGUUGGGAUAAAAAUAGGUUUUUUUGUUUUUUUUGAAGGGAGAAAAACAGCAUGAAACUAGAUGCAAAUGCUCCUCACAUUUUAAAAUUUUUGGGUGUUGGUUUAGCUCUUUUGGCAAUGGAUGUGUAGGUGUAAACAAUGUAUGAAUUCAAAAAGUUAUAUCAUGUAUGAAGUCAGUCUUGUCUGGAAAUCAUACAUGGGUCCUCUUGCAUAGAAGCACUUUCCCUGACCAUAGAUGUGCAGAGGAUAAUUGAUGUUUUUAGCAAGGCAACAAUGACACUGCACGUGUGUAAUGGCACCCUUUCCUAUGUAAGAAACAAAGUUGUGAAUUUCCAUGGGGCUGCCUACUACUUCAGCUUUAUUUGCACUUUUCUUUGGUGUUGGAAAAUGUUUAAUUGCAGCUAAGCAUGUGCAGUUUAAAAUAUUCAUUGCUCAUAAUGUUACAGUAUGACAGUAUGCAAGUAAAUUAAUGCAUAAUGUAUAUAAUUUACAGCACAAUCCUAUACACAUCUUCUCAGAAGUAAGUCCUAUUGGGUUCAAUGCGGCUUACUCCCGAGUAAGUGGGAUUACAGCUGUAACAUAUAAAGUAUUCAUACAACCAAUUAAUAAAACAUAUUUUUGUGUAUACUGAAUAUUCUUGAUAAUACUGUACACACUGUGAAUAAUACAUUUCUUUGUCAGAGAAUAAUCCCCUAGAAAAGCCUGCUGUAUGUUGCUGUUUUUAGUGUCACAUUGCAGUUUUCAAAAUGCCCAGCAACUCCUCCUGUUGCACUGGCAUUUCAAGUAUGAGUCAGAAGAUUUGGAUGAAAGCAGAGUUUUCCAUAUACAGAACUCCUUCAUUGUUCACUGUGGUUUAUUUCAUCCCACUCAUUUAAAAGCCAGUAUGGGGGGGGGUGUCAUUUUGUUGUAAAUAUUUUCUGAAGUCAUAGAAAUUAAUUUUAAAACAUUAUUGAAACUGCCUGCAUCUGAUGAAAGAGGGUAUUUAUUACCCGGCAAGGAGACAUUGAGUAGCUGUUAAGUCACAGGGCUACAGUCACAGGGAAUGUUUUGCUGGUGAAUUAUAUAGCUGUCAUGCAUCUACCAAAGGAAAGAGCCUGGUUUGAUGGCAUCCAUCUGUCUUGGGACACUCAUAUUCCAACUUCCGUUUACCUUUUUUACCACUCACUCUCUGUGUUAAGUUGAGAUAGGAAUUUAUAAAUAUAUUGGGUACUGAGCAUUUGAACUCCUGCAUAGUUGAGUGUCCUCAAUUUGUGGAUUAGGUGGUUAUUGGAAGAUGAGGAAUUUGGAUUUGUUAGGCCCUUGGAAUGUUUGGGGGCAAGCCAGACCUAUACAAGAGGGCCAGGGUCUACCUGAACUUAGAAUAAAAAAUGUGGCAGGAACACCUUAUAACAUGAUUACAAAGGGAACAUUGACAAGAGCUGAGGAAUGUCUGGUUUGGAACAUAACUUCCACAGAAGAGGGUGGGAAAGUUUUAUGUUCAUUCGGUUGGGAGACGGGUGAAAUUAGGUAUUAAGAAUGCUGGGGCAUGUGAUAGCAAUUGACAGUUAAAACACACGUGCCAAAGAUAUUCGGCGAGAGACACCAUGUAUAAGGUGUUUGUUCUCGCUACAAACCUCUGUACCAAGAUGAGCAAGGUUUCUACAGCCCUACAUUAUCCAGGGGGUUAACCAUGUUAGUCUGUUGCAACCAAAAUUACAAAGCUUGGUUUUGAGGUGCUCUAAAGACUUAACAAAUUAUUACAGCAUAAACCUUUGUGAAUUUCAGUCCACUAAUCAAAUGCAAAUGAUAAAGUGGGCUGUAGUCCAUGGAAGUUUGGGGGCUUUCUGUGUGCUACCUCUUGUAGAGAUCCCAACAGUGGGAUUUUUGCUCACUCACACAUUCAGUGGACAGAAUAGGGAGUCCCAUACUGGCAGAGCAACAAGGGCACUGGGAGCCAAUGGAGGUCCAGCACUACUGAGUGUUGGGACGCUUCCAGCCAAUCCCAAAAAACCCUCAGCCCAGUGCAAAGGAGGUUUGGACCGCAGCCUAAAGAAUGAAGUCAUAUCAAAUAAACACAACAAACAUAAUCAGCUACAUAAUAAUGACCCGCAGACUCAAGAAUCUGUCAUAUAUUAGAUCUGUUUUCCCUACAGCAAAAGGUUGUGAUGCACAGGCUGUGGGUUUUUUUAUGUAUCCCAGUGAAACAUGCUACUAAGAGAGACAUUUUGAUGUGUUCAGUGAGGCAUAGAAUGAAGCACUAGUGCAGGUGGUACUAGUGAUGAUUAACAGUUGCACCAGAAUCAAGAAAGACCAGGAGAUUCCUAUGAGAGGGGGACCUCCCUUGUAAUGGACUUUGGGAACAACAGAAGAUGAGGAAGAUGAGUGAGUGUGACCUGUUUUUCAUAAGUGCAGCCCCUUCUCAUUCCACCCACUGGUGCUUGGGGCCAGAGGCGCUGUAAUUCUGCCUUUCAAUAAACACAUGUUAUGUUAAUAGACAUUGAAGAGUGAAAAUGUGUAAUAGCUAGAAAUGCUUACCCUCUGAGUCAUUGUGGUAGCUAUUCAGAUGGAGCCACUCAUGCAUAUCUCACAAUGUGUAAAUUUGGUGCCUUUGUGAAACUGGUUUCUGGGUUCUUUUUUUCUUAUUAUCAGUGGACUCCAGGAGCUGUCUCUUGACUAGCAAUGCUUAUUAAAGUUCUCAGUAUCAUACCACCUACCUGGAGCUUUUAUGUAUUUGAAUGUAUUCAUUUUUGUUUGCCAAGAAAGUAUGAAAUAACGCUGCAGUUUGCUUCUUUGUUGUGUUCAGUUAUAUUUUGUUACCCUGGGACUGACUUUCCCAAUCCUGUUUUCAAGCUUUUUCAAUGUCUUCUCCGGUUUUCUUUGUUUAAACAAGCCUAUGACAGAAACAUAUUCCCUAAUUGUUAUCAAUCAUUCAUAAACAAGCAGCACACAUGGCAUUCCCCCUUUGGCACUCUGCCUCUUUAGUGUAUUUCAAAGGCAUCUGUUUCCUCAAAUUGUCUAUUCCCUUUGUUUAGUGCAGCACUGAGUUUCUAAGACUAAAUAACCCCAUAUGUUGAUUGGAACAUUUUCUUUUUCCUUUAAAGGUUUCUGCCUUUUAAAACUCUUCAUCCCAAAAGCACAAUUUCGGUAAUAAUUUCCUAGCACUUUUAUUCCCAGCUUACGGGUAAAUGAAAUGGAUUUAAGUGUGUUAGUAUCUUGGACCCAAGCACACUGCUUAGAAGCAAAUUGCUUUGAUUUAAAUAGGAUUGAAGUGUACACUGAGGACCAGUCCUAGUAUUAGGCAAAGUGAGGCAGUCCCCUUAGGUGGCACAUGCUGUGGGGUAGCAUUCUCCUUUACUGGAAGACAAACUGUCCUGCAUCCCCUAAACUUACCUGCUGCCCUCAUGUUGUGAAGGAUAUCAUUUAUGUUGUGAAGGAUACUAUUCUAUUUUUGGUGUUGAAGUAAAAAUCAGUUGCCAGCCUACUUGGCUUCUGUAUGUGGAAUUGUAGUAUCUUUGGUUGUGUUGAAUGCUGUAAUUCCAGUUGCACAACAGAGAUCCACUUAUGCAAUAGAACUCCACCUUUCUAUUCUCUGCCCUACAUCUUCCUGAACACCCUCAUGAUCGACUCCAGAGGAUUGAUUGGAGGACCUUCUAGAGCAGGUUUUGGGGCAUGAGUGGAGCUCUGUGUAUGCUGCUUGGAUACAACACAUAGUCUGUUGCCUCAGGUAGUAAAACAUUGGCCAGGUCCUGUGUACCCUAUAUUGUGUUCGAGAAUUCUUCUAAGAGAGAUGAUUCCAUCAGUAUGGAUAAUGGGUAGCAAUGGGACUUGAGGCUGAAGGGCAGGUAAUAAAUAGCAACAACAAUGAGAGCCAGAGGAUGGGUAAGUGGGAAGAUAGGAAGGAGCUGUUUUCAUCAAAUUGAUAUAACAAUUCCCUUUUGACUAAUACGAGCACAAGCAACACAACUUGCCACAUAGGUUCUUUCAGAGUGUUAGCUCCUUGUGGAGGAAGAAAGAAUCUCAGACAACACAGAAGACAUGACUGCCCUGAAUUGAGAGAGGAGAAAUCUGUCCUUUUAUAUCUCAGUCUUAUAAUAAUAUUAUGAGAUAAUCAAUUACAAUUUAUAAAUAUUGUUUGUUGGAAAUAACUUUUUAUAGGAAUCAAAUCAACCAAGGAUUUUUCUGGCGUAUUAAACUGCAGCAUGGCAUAAUUACAUUUCUAUUCUCCUGCUUUCUUUACAUUGAUUCAACAAGAGUAGGCAAUUACUGAGUUCACAGUGAGUGAAUGGAUUCUACUAGAUGCCAUGAACUUUAAGAUAAUAUUUACCAAAUUGUUAAAGGGUUACUUUUUUCAACUGAAAACCAAUUUUGGAGCUAUUAUUUGAGAACAUACUAUAUUUUGCAGAAAUGAUUCUUAAGUGCAAUGUAGUGGUAUAACAAUGGAAAUGUAUUUGCAUUUUUAUCAUGUCAUAUAAUGUUUGUAUUUCCAAAGCUAUAAUAAGUAUUAAGGGACAUGGCACAUUAGGGGUUAUUUUAUCAUUGUGCAUGAAAAACAUUGGUAGACUUACAAAACCUUGCAGAAAAUUGGGCAAGGCACCCAUUUCAGAAUCACUCAAAGAUUUAUAAUUUGGCAUAAUAUUUGAACUUUGAUUAUUUUAUAAUUUGGAAUGUUUUUAAUGUGGCUUUUAUUGGAUUGUUAAAUUGGAAAACUUUAUAAAUAUAUAUUUUUUUAAAGAGACCCACAAUUUCAAUAUACACGUGAGAGAGACAGCAUAUGCCUGUUCUAUCCCCUAUACAUCUGGAGUAAGUCUUAGCUUGGUUACUAUUUUCCCUCCUUGAAAAGUGUAUCGAGCCAAAGGAGGAAGUUGUAUGAGGAACACUUCCCACUUCCUGUUUCAGUUUUUUAUACUCUUCAGCUUUAUUUACUCUUCAAAGCUCAGAUCAGCACCUGAGCUGCCAAUCCUUUUCUCACUUCCCCUUUCAGCUCUAUGCGCUAUUCAAGGCUCAGAUUGGCACUACAGUAGCUGAAGAGAAAGAACAGCUACUGAGUGGUAGUGGAUCUGGGAAACCUGGGGAUAGGGGAGGAAGACAGUGACUGGAUGAGGCAAAGAGGGGGUUAGGAGGGAGGGGGUGUUAGUGAGAGAAGGCACACACAUACACACAGAUCAAAUCCAAUGAAACGGAUCCUCUUGAAAUUGCAUAUUUUUAUGGGUUCCCUCCUCCAAACCACCAUCAAAUCACUAGUCACAUCUGUUUCUAUUCCCUGAACCUUUAAUCGCCAGUGCUUUGUGUUAUCAGGUGCCAUGCAAAUGUCAUAAAUAAAUCAUUGAAAUCUAAAACUGUAAUGAGAGAUGUGGGAGGUAAGAUUGAAGGAUUACAGUGGCCCAAAUUAAUUUAUUUCCCCCCUAAUUUAUUUAUUUAUAAGGUGCACUUUUUAAAAAUAAUAAUAAUAGUGAAGUAUGUAACAUAUCAAAAUAAAAUCAGCAAAACAAUUUCCCCAAACUCAUCAUUUAAAACAUUAAUACAGUGGUACCUUGGGUUAAGAACUUAAUUCGUUCUGGAGGUCCGUUCUUAACCUGAUACUGUUCUUAACCUGAGAUACCACUUUAGCUAAUGGGGCCUGCCACUGCGCCACUGUCGCACAAUUUCUGUUCUCAUCCUGAAGCAAAGUUCUUAACCCGAAGUACUAUUUCUGGGUUAGCGGAGUCUGUAACCUGAAGUGUCUUUAACCUGAAGCAUCUGUAACCCGAGGUACCACUGUACUAAUUUUAUGAUUACUUGAGGACACAGUAGAGGCAUUUGAAGUAAGAUUUUUUGCUACCCUUAUUGCCAUAUUGUAGGUGGGAUUAUGUGCUCUAACCAGGGCUCGGUUGGCCUUAGAUCAAGGUUUAUGCCACUGGUGCGCUCUCUCUCUCUCAGUCAAUCAAUCAAUCAGUCAAUCAAUUUAUAUACCACCCUAUACCCAGAGGUCUCAGGGCAGUUCACAGAACAAAAUCAGACUAUAAAACCACAAAAUAUAUAAUCAAAUUAAAAACAACAAUCCAAUAAAGCCCCCCCCCCCAAAAAAAACAACAACCCACAUUUGAAAAGGGCAUAGGCUUUAGCCGUCAUCUAUCCUGUUUUGUUACAUGCAACUUCCUAGAAUACCAGUAGGCACUGCAAAUUCCACAACACCAGAGAGGGUGCUCAGAAGUGAUCAUGCCACAUCUCCCCAUUCUACAGCAGGAUGAGAAACUUGACAGGAUCUCUACAGCAGGAUGAGAAACUUGACAGGAUCACCUGUUCUAUCCACUGGAAAAUCUCUCAAAAGCAUUCAGGAAUCCAUCAGGAUCUGUAAGUCUCCAAUGGCAAAUAAUCUUAAUAAACUCCACCCUUACUGAGGAAGAUAGCUGUUGUGAGCUGAAACUUCACAGGGAAAUUUACCUCUACCCUGCUUUUAAAAAGGGAUAUACCAUCGCCCCACACAUUCUUGCAAUUGCGCCCAGGAUUUAAUACUCUGGGGCUGAAAUUGCUGGUUUAGUGUAUGUUCAAGAAAAGAUUGUGGGGUAUACCCGUUUAAACUCUGAUGCUUAUGGGAAGUCUAGUGUCAGUAUCCUAUCUUCCCCCUGCAACUGCAACUGAUAUUCAUAUUGCCUCUGAUGCUGGGGAAUAUAUAGGCAGUAUCACUAGCAGCCAUUGUCCUCCAUGAAUUGGUCUUUGUAAGAGCCCUUUUAAAACAUUGAUUCUUAGUGUUAGCAUCAUAGACAACUUGGAAGUAAAUAUUUACUUUUCACAUAGCAUCUGUUCCUGUGUCUCUAUAUACAGCUUGGAUCCAUAGUCCUUUGUCUGGAAGGUACAACUGGCAAGUUUGCAGCUAGCUGGGAGAAGGAAAUUGUAUCUGCUUUGGAAGAAAUUAGAUCUCGUGUUUUGUUGGUUCUGGCAGCAGUUGGCAAGUUAGAUUUACACCACCAAACACCUUAUUAAAGUUAAUGAAGACUGUGAGCAGUAAGAGUAGAUUAAUUGGUUUUCACAUGAAUUUUGUUGUAAACUUUCAGUGUGGUAUAUUAUCCAUGCACAGUGUUUAUGCACCAUUUUUGAGCAAUUUCACUGUAAUUUCCCCUUAAAUGAAAUCUGCAGAAGUGGUUACACUCUGUACAAUAUGAACUACCCAACAAUAGAUAGUAUGGGUAAUGCAUAAAAAAACAUCCUGUGUAUUUUUCUGCUCUAGAGAAAAUGAGUCAUAGGCAUAAUUGGUUGAGCAGGUCAGUAUCAGCUACUAAACUGAACAUUUUAAAUGUGGCUUUAGAGUUAUUUGCUCAGAGGAUAUUUUGGUAAAUCCUGCUGUUCCUAUGAAUUAGCUUAUUUAUUCAGAAGAAUUGAGUGUACCAUACCCUGCUUUGCAUAUAAUUCAUUUAGGAAUAGGGCCAUUGCUGUUCAAUAUCCUAUUUGAUUCCGUUCCACUUUUCAGCCAGGAAACCUGCUUAGAAAUAAAAAUUGCCCCAAUAUG